GCAGUUUUAUCAACAUCAUUAUCACUCACUCUAACAGCCAACCAUUUUAUUAUUUUCAAAGAAGAUGUUAAGGAAAAAUCGUAUCAACUUUCUUUCACUCUUGUUUUCUUUCUUCUUAAUCUUUACUAGUUUCAUUCAAAUUGGAACACCCGCAAGGACCACAACCCUUGAGUUCCAGACCAGUGGCAGAUCCAAACUACUUGGUAAGUGCUUCAUAAUCUUUCUUUUUAAUUUACUUCUCAUUCAUUCUACAUGAUUUGAAAAAAUAAAGGCCAUUCCAUCUUUUCCCUGCAUUAUGAUAUGAAUUACUUAAAAGUUUGGUACUCAAUUCUUAGGUCGAGACUUUUUAUCGAUGCUUAUUUCUUUUUCGUCUUGCCUUUUUUUUCUGAUUGUAGAUGAAUCAUGGAAUACUGACAGUGGUGUUUGUGGAGGCAUGCCGCCAAUUGGUCAUGGCGCAGUUGUUUGUCCACCUCCACCAUGAGAAAGUAUCAGCCUGCGUCUACAAUAAUCAAGUCAAAGAUGCUGGAUACAGUAAAACAUAUGUUAUUGAACUUUAUAUGAACUUGUUUUGAAACUUCUGCUGUAAGUUUAAUCCUUUGGUGUGAUAGUACAGAAGAAAUAAGAAUGACCAAGAAAUCAGAAGGGAAAUGAAUCACAUUUUAUCCUGAAAAUUUUAUUUUUAAUCUAUUAUAUAUAUAUAUGCACCUAUCCUUGUUCCAAAUCACAGUAGAAAAGAAGUUUGUUGUUGUUACUUGUUACUGUACUGAGUUCUGAUAAUUGUUGUUAAUACAACAUAUAUGCAAACCCCUUAUCAGCGUAAACAUAUUCGAAUUUGUCGUGGAAGAUUUGACCCCAAUGACUUCUCUGGGCUCAGUAUAGAUCCAACCAAUCCACGUCCUCAGGAAAACCAACCCAAAACCUCUUAACCACUCUUUCUCUUCAGUUGCUUUGGCUUGCCAAUGGAAGACACACAAAGAGGAGUGUAAUCACAGCCAUGAAGGCAGAAGGUGUUGGAAUGCGGAAGCGAAGUUAUCCAGAAAUUCAAAUUUUCUUUAAUUCAAUAAACGGGAUUGUCUAGAUGUUCACGUGUAUGUUCUAACAAAAUUAAAGAAUUUGAAUCUUUUACCUAAGUUCGAUGAUCAACCUUUGAAUUAACUCUGGUCUGUGAACUUCCGGCUUCUUUAAUUGCAAGAAUCUUGGUGCUUCAAACCUUUUACGGUAUUCUCCAACGCAAAUACUACACCAACGUGUGGAUAUCUUCUUUUAAUUAAUCCAGAUAUUAAUUCUUGAAUUGGACAAUUGAAAGAAUCAAGAAAAAUAAUUUCUCUCUUCAAAAUUUGAACACCAUAAAAUUAUGUAUUAUGAAUGUUGUAUAAUUCCA
rnacentral:lncRNA from 1 species